rnacentral:rRNA from 1 species
AAUUUUCGGCAAUGGGGGCAACCCUGACCGAGCGACGCUGCGUGAGUGAAGAAGGUCUUCGGAUUGUAAGGCUAUGUUGUUUGGGAAGAACCGUACCAGUAGGGAAUGACUGGUACGUGACGGUACCAUACCAGCAAGCCACGGCAAACUACGUGCCAGCAGCCGCGGUAAUACGUAGGUGGCAAGCGUUAUCCGGAAUUAUUGGGCGUAAGGGGAGCGCAGGCGGCUUAUUAAGUCUGAGGUUAAAGUUCGGGGAUCAACCCCGUGAUGCCUUAGAAACUGGUAGGCUAGAGUGCAGGAGAGGUGAGUGGAAUUCCAUGUGUAGCGGUAAAAUGCGUAGAUAUAUGGAGGAACACCAGUGGCGAAGGCGGCUCACUGGCCUGUAACUGACGCUGAGGCUCGAAAGCGUAGGGAGCAAAUA